CUGUAACGUAGCACAAUUUUGAAAAAGUCAAGGGGUCUGAAUACUUUCGGAAUGCACUGUAAAUAGUUAUUUAUUGGCUGAAAAUCUGAAGUUGAUCGCCCCUUUCAAUGAAUGGGUUUUGUCGGCCAAAAUGUUAAACCCCUUCGAUUGAAUUUUGGAAUAGUCCAUUACAAAAGAAGCGCAACAUGAGCGCCGAAGUUUGACGUUAUGCAAGCUGAAUCAAUAUCAACAAUGGCGGCUCGUUUUAAAACAGGUCGAGGAUCGAAGCGCAAGGCAAACAACAAAGCAGAGACUGAGGAGGAGACUUUGGUCAUCGAGCGAAAGAGGGGUAAAAGAGAGGGGGAAAUGGAGACCGCUACAGAGGGCCAGAGGGUGGUCAUUGAACACUGUAAGAGCUGAUACGUGUACAGACGGUGUGCRGAGGGGGUGCGAGAUGCCCUCKUGGCUGCCCGCCCAGACCUCGUCGUGGUUCUGAACCCCCAGAAACCCCGCAAGAAAAGCCUGGAGGUCACACUUGUGGAGGGCGGGAAAGAGGUGUGCCUCUGGACAGGCAUAAAGCUAGGCCCACCUGCCAGGCUGAAGUUCCCUGAGCCUGCCAUUGUGGUUGCAGCCCUGGAGGAGGCAC